rnacentral:rRNA from 1 species
UGGGGAAUAUUGCACAAUGGGCGCAAGCCUGAUGCAGCAACGCCGCGUGAGGGAUGACGGCCUUCGGGUUGUAAACCUCUUUUAGUAGGGAAGAAGCGAAAGUGACGGUACCUGCAGAAAAAGCACCGGCUAACUACGUGCCAGCAGCCGCGGUAAUACGUAGGGUGCGAGCGUUGUCCGGAAUUAUUGGGCGUAAAGAGCUCGUAGGCGGUCUGUCGCGUCUGCUGUGAAAACCCGAGGCUCAACCUCGGGCCUGCAGUGGGUACGGGCAGACUAGAGUGCGGUAGGGGAGAAUGGAAUUCCUGGUGUAGCGGUGGAAUGCGCAGAUAUCAGGAGGAACACCGAUGGCGAAGGCAGUUCUCUGGGCCGUAACUGACGCUGAGGAGCGAAAAGCGUGGGGAGCGAACAGGAUUAGAUACCCUGGUAGUCCACGCCGUAAACGUUGGGCGCUAGAUGUGGGGACCAUUCCACGGUUUCCGUGUCGCAGCUAACGCAUUAAGCGCCCCGCCUGGGGAGUACGGCCGCAAGGCUAAAA